AUGGCCGUCCUCUCCGCCUAUGACGACACCCCCGAGAAGCCGCCAAUGAGAGGACGGUGUCUCCCGAGCCUUCAUUUGCAUAUGAGCACUAUAAGUAGCGGGGCCCGGCUCAGCCGCUUCACGUCGUUCGUUCCCGAACUCGUUGCUUCCUCUGUUUUCAGCCCCUUUCCUGCUUUCGCCAUGCCCGAGCCGGCCAAGUCUGCUCCCGCCCCCAAAAAGGGCUCCAAGAAAGCCGUGACCAAGGCCCAGAAGAAAGAUGGCAAGAAGCGCAAGCGCAGCCGCAAGGAGAGCUACUCCAUCUACGUCUACAAAGUGCUGAAGCAGGUCCACCCUGACACCGGCAUCUCCUCCAAGGCCAUGGGCAUCAUGAACUCCUUCGUCAACGACAUCUUCGAGCGCAUCGCCGGCGAGGCUUCCCGCCUGGCGCACUACAACAAGCGCUCGACCAUCACUUCCCGGGAGAUCCAGACGGCCGUGCGCCUGCUGCUGCCCGGAGAGCUGGCCAAGCACGCCGUGUCGGAGGGCACCAAGGCCGUCACCAAGUACACCAGCUCCAAGUAAGCGGCUGCCUCGGGAGUCCGCCCCCCGCCCCGAAACAAAGGCUCUUUUCAGAGCCACCCACUGCCCUCAAGACAAAACGAGCUGUCUCACGCACCCGAGUGCUCGGGAGCCCCGACGCCUACCUACCUACCUACCAGCCUGCCUGCCUACAUAAGAUAACAUAACCUGUUUGUCCACCCUCGCCUCCUCUCCCCUUGUGCUUGCUGCGCUCUUGCCUGCCGGAAGUGCCGGCUUCUGGUCGUUUCUUUCCCCGAAGCCCGGGGUCAGCCGGCACCCGCUUGCGCAGCUAAAACUCUUGAAAACCUUCCCUUCCUCUUUGAACUUUUUCUCCUUUGCCUCGCUUCCAUCCUAGGCUCCUCCCUCGCCCUCCCGUCGCGUCCCUUCCCUUCCCACCCCGCUCGCUGCCACAGCGCGCAGCCUCAAAACUUGGGAAACAUCUUCCGUCCCUCGCCCCACCUCCCCCCAGUCUCCUCCCGGCCUCAGCCCCGGCCAAGUUCUCACGUCAACAGGGAAAAAUACUGCCUGUCCAGUUUCCCAAUUUUGGAGCAAUGUUUGAGCACUUUGUGACGUACUUCAGCUUUUAGUUAAGUUAACUUUUCAAGUAGCUUACAAUUUUUGGUAUUCUGUAGCUUUAAAGUUACUCUAUUUGAAUUUGUUUUUAAGUGGUGUAAUAAAUGAUAAAUUCAAGUCUUUCAGAGACAUUCCUAGGAGGAUAAGACCAACAAUAAUUGGUGUUAUCUUUUCCUACAGCCAGAAUUACAGAUGAAUAAAGAAACUUCAAGUGUAGGUUGUGAGAUAAAUCUAAACUGAAACAGAAGAGGAAGUUGGAAGCCAGAGAAUAUUUGGAAAAUCGUCUACAGAUCGUGUAAUGGAAGGCCUGUCAGGAAGAAUAAAAAGUAUUGCCGUACACCAA